UCCGGCUUAUCACCGGCAGUUUCUUUAGAGUGCUCAGCUUAACCUGUUAGCAACUAAAGAUGAGGGUUGCGCUCGUUGCGGGACUUAACCCAACAUCUCACGACACGAGCUGACGACAGCCAUGCAACACCUGUGUGGUAGCCAGCCGAACUGAAGGAGUAAAUUUCUCUACCCCAUACUACCCAUGUCAAGGCCUGGUAAGGUUCUUCGCGUUGCCUCGAAUUAAACCACAUGCUCCACCGCUUGUGCGGGUCCCCGUCAAUUUCUUUGAGUUUUAAUCUUGCGACCGUACUCCCCAGGCGGGAUGCUUAACGCGUUAGCUGCGCCACUGAACCCUGAGGGUCCAACGGCUAGCAUCCAUCGUUUACAGCGUGGACUAC
rnacentral:misc_RNA from 1 species